UGGGGAAUAUUGGACAAUGGGCGCAAGCCUGAUCCAGCCAUGCCGCGUGAGUGAUGAAGGCCUUAGGGUUGUAAAGCUCUUUCACUGGGGAAGAUAAUGACGGUACCCAGAGAAGAAGCCCCGGCUAACUUCGUGCCAGCAGCCGCGGUAAUACGAAGGGGGCUAGCGUUGUUCGGAAUCACUGGGCGUAAAGCGCACGUAGGCGGACUUUUAAGUCAGGGGUGAAAUCCCAAGGCUCAACCUUGCAGCUGCCCUUGAUACUGGAAGUCUUGAGUUCGGGAGAGGUGAGUGGAACUGCGAGUGUAGAGGUGAAAUUCGUAGAUAUUCGCAAGAACACCAGUGGCGAAGGCGGCUCACUGGCCCGAUACUGACGCUGAGGUGCGAAAGCGUGGGGAGCAAA
rnacentral:rRNA from 1 species